UACGGAGGGUGCAAGCGUUAUCCGGAAUCAUUGGGUUUAAAGGGUCCGCAGGCGGAUUUAUAAGUCAGUGGUGAAAGCCUGCAGCUCAACUGCAGAACUGCCAUUGAUACUGUAAGUCUUGAAUUCGGUCGAAGUGGGCGGAAUAUGACAUGUAGCGGUGAAAUGCUUAGAUAUGUCAUAGAACACCGAUAGCGAAGGCAGCUCACUAGGCCUGGAUUGACGCUCAGGGACGAAAGCGUGGGGAG
rnacentral:rRNA from 1 species